rnacentral:lncRNA from 1 species
GUACCCAGGGACACAUAGGUAGCAUGAAUUUGUGCCUUCAAACUGUAGGAGGACCUGCUUGUAAGAAACUCAGGGAAAUUUCCUAUCCACCUGACUCCAGCCGGAGCUGAGGCCAAAAGAGGUAUACUUUGUUCUAAAUAUGCAACCGUCUUGAUACGGUAUUCGCUUCGUGCUUUGAUUGUGUAUGGCCGUGGCAGCCAAAAGGACUGUUCAUUCUCAUCAUGUUGUCAAAAGCUCACGUUGCAUUGAAGGUUGACAGCGGUUUUGCUACACAGACUGUCAGAGACUCAAGGUGACACUGGCUCCACUCUUUUAUGACACUUCCAUCUCAGCACGUGGCUACACGGGUACCAUAGCAAAGGUACAGUGUGAGCUCAACUAAAUCCUGUUCACAACCCAGUGGCCAGAACCGGUCACAUGACCCCAACCGAGGAGCAAGGAAGUAGGAAGGAGAGCGGUGCCAGAUACGGUGAUUCUUAUUUGCGUUUUUCAUAUUUUGCAACCAUUCCAUUAAAGGAGAAAGAAGAGCUGGCGGAACCUGCUCUUCCCUCCAGCCCCAGCGGUAAGCACAGCGGACUCAACCAUAUUGUGGAUUUGGGCACAGCUGGUCUCCCUGAAACCCCACAAUUUUUCCCAUGGAACCCUGAAAACAUUUCCUCUCUCUUCUCGCAGGGGUGAACUCAGCAUUGGUGGCGUGAAGAUCGGGGCUGAUCCUGGUUUGUCCCCGAGGGGGUCUACUUCAGGCACACAGCAACUCCAGUGCCUGGUCAUAUUACGAUGUUAUACUUUACAGACCAGCAAUCCAAGCAAAAGAUGGUUUUCUGUGUCCUGCAAAUAAAUGCUCAAUUCACAACUGCA